GAUGAACGCUAGCUACAGGCUUAACACAUGCAAGUCGAGGGGCAGCAUCAUCAAAGCUUGCUUUGAUGGAUGGCGACCGGCGCACGGGUGAGUAACACGUAUCCAACCUGCCGACAACACUGGGAUAGCCUUUCGAAAGAAAGAUUAAUACCGGAUGGCAUAGUUUUCCCGCAUGGGAUAAUUAUUAAAGAAUUUCGGUUGUCGAUGGGGAUGCGUUCCAUUAGGCAGUUGGCGGGGUAACGGCCCACCAAACCAACGAUGGAUAGGGGUUCUGAGAGGAAGGUCCCCCCACAUUGGAACUGAGACACGGUCCAAACUCCUACGGGAGGCAGCAGUGAGGAAUAUUGGUCAAUGGACGAGAGUCUGAACCAGCCAAGUAGCGUGAAGGAUGACUGCCCUAUGGGUUGUAAACUUCUUUUAUACGGGAAUAAAGUUAGCCACGUG
rnacentral:rRNA from 1 species